rnacentral:rRNA from 1 species
UACGUAGGGAGCAAGCGUUGUCCGGAAUCAUUGGGCGUAAAGCGCGUGUAGGCGGCCCUGUAAGUCCGUUGUGAAAGUCAAAGGCUCAACCUUUGAAAGCCGAUGGAUACUGCAGGGCUAGAGUCCGGAAGAGGCGAGUGGAAUUCCUGGUGUAGCGGUGGAAUGCGCAGAUAUCAGGAGGAACGCCAAUAGCGAAGGCAGCUCGCUGGGACGGUACUGACGCUAAGGCGCGAAAGCGUGGGGAGCGAACAGG